rnacentral:rRNA from 1 species
UACGAAGGGGGCUAGCGUUGCUCGGAAUUACUGGGCGUAAAGGGAGCGUAGGCGGACUGUUUAGUCAGAGGUGAAAGCCCAGGGCUCAACCUUGGAAUUGCCUUUGAUACUGGCAGUCUUGAGUACGGAAGAGGUAUGUGGAACUCCGAGUGUAGAGGUGAAAUUCGUAGAUAUUCGGAAGAACACCAGUGGCGAAGGCGGCGACCUGGUCCGAUACUGACGCUGAGGCGCGAAAGCGUGGGGAGCAAACAGG